rnacentral:rRNA from 1 species
AUUGAACGCUGGCGGCAUGCUUUACACAUGCAAGUCGAACGGUAACAGGGUGCUUGCCCCGCUGACGAGUGGCGAACGGGUGAGUAAUGCAUCGGAAUGUACCGUGUAAUGGGGGAUAGCUCGGCGAAAGCCGGAUUAAUACCGCAUACGCCCUGCGGGGGAAAGUGGGGGACCGAAAGGCCUCACGUUAUACGAGCAGCCGAUGUCUGAUUAGCUAGUUGGUGAGGUAAAGGCUCACCAAGGCGUCGAUCAGUAGCGGGUCUGAGAGGAUGAUCCGCCACACUGGGACUGAGACACGGCCCAGACUCCUACGGGAGGCAGCAGUGGGGAAUUUUGGACAAUGGGCGCAAGCCUGAUCCAGCCAUGCCGCGUGUCUGAAGAAGGCCUUCGGGUUGUAAAGGACUUUUGUCCGGGAGCAAAUCCUAGUGGUUAAUAACCGCUGGGUCUGAGAGUACCGGAAGAAUAAGCACCGGCUAACUACGUG